rnacentral:rRNA from 1 species
AUUGAACGCUGGCGGCAUGCUUUACACAUGCAAGUCGAACGGUAACAGGGUGCUUGCACCGCUGACGAGUGGUGAACAGGUGAGUAAUGCGUCGGAACGUGCCGAGUAGUGGGGGAUAACGCAGCGAAAGUUGUGCUAAUACCGCAUACGUACUGAGGUAGAAAGUGGGGGACCUUCGGGCCUCACGCUAUUCGAGCGGCCGACGUCUGAUUAGCUAGUAGGUGAGGUAAAGGCUCACCUAGGCGACGAUCAGUAGCGGGUCUGAGAGGAUGGUCCGCCACACUGGGACUGAGAAACGGCCCAGACUCCUACGGGAGGCAGCAGCGGGGAAUUUUGGACAAUGGGCGAAAGCCUGAUCCAGCCAUGCCGCGUGUCUGAAGAAGGCCUUCGGGUUGUAAAGGACUUUUGUCAGGGAGGAAAUCCCUAGUGCUAAUAACACUGGGGGAUGACAGUACCUGAAGAAUAAGCACCGGCUAACUACGUGCCAGCAGCCGCCGUAA